rfam:Clostridia bacterium BRH_c25 BRHa_1005664, whole genome shotgun sequence.
GGAACCUGUACGCGUUGCUGUGCAACGAUCGCAAAAGA